UACUUAAAAUGGGUGUAGUAUGUUACAUGUAAAUUACAUCAUAAGACCUGAUUUUUCAUUUUAUUUUAUUUUAGUUUUGGAGACUGAGUCUCACUCUGUUGCCCAGGCUGCAGUGCAGUGGCGUGAUCUCAGCUCACUGCAAUCUCCGCCUCCCAGGCUCAAGCCAUUCUUGUGUCUCAGCCUCCUGAGUAGCUGGGACUACAGGCGUGCACCACCAUGCCCGGCUAAUUUUUUGUAUUUUAGUAGAGACGGGGUUUCACCAUGUUGCCCAGGGUGGUCUUGAACUCCUGAGCUCAGGCAAUCCACCCGCCUCAGCCUCCCAAAGUGCUGGGAUUACAGGCAUGAGCCACUAUGCCCAGCCAAGACCUGAUUUUUCAAAAACUGUCAUGAACAUUGUCAAGAAGAAAUACAGGAUGCACUGGGAGAUGAACUAGAUCUUCAAUUGUGCACAACAGAUCCCUCCAAAAGGACACGUUGUUUUUACAACAGUGUAGCACGGUGAGAUGGUCUCUCCUCUCCAGGAACAGAAGUUUUGAAACCCAUCAUACAUCCAGCAAAAAUUCCAGUACCUUGGAGCAAAGAAUUGUGUUCCAGAGAUCCAAAGACCAAUCGUUCGGUAACCAUGCACCAGCCAGGUCCAGUGGAACAAAUGCCAUAAUUAGGCCUCAGAAGAGAGGCCAGAGAUUGACUGUGAGGUCCCUCCAGUCAUGCCUCCAGGCCUUACUAGACUGGGACGCUCACACUGUCGCUCUCUGCUUUGUAGCUGUUUGUGCAAGAACAAAAGGACUUCAGUCUCCCUUGCUAUUAAUCCAACUUCACAAGCAUGAAAUUUACAGACACACACAAGAAUUCAUCAUUGAAACCUUUUCCCCUUGUCAUGUUCAGCUGCUGAAAAGUGGGCACACUCUUGGAAAUGAAUGUUAAUAAAAAA
rnacentral:lncRNA from 1 species